rnacentral:lncRNA from 1 species
AUCCGUUGCCCUUCCGAAGGACUGCACCACCGUUCAGAAAUGCUACAUUGAGAUCUCCAAGCAAGUGAAGGCGAAACUCGGCAAGGUCGAUGACUACUUCAAUAAGCUGGCGGAUGCUAUGGUGACAUGGAUUGAAGCUUGGGAUGAACUGAACCCAUCGGGCGAUAUUUCCGCCAAGAUUCCUAAUGGUGCUUCCAAGUGAAAACACAUCAUUGUGUGAAACGCUUAUUUUGCAGGUGGGAGGGAGAACCAUUUAUGUAUGUUACUACAUAUCUCAUAGUAUUUUAUCAUAUUUACUGAGCUUAGAUGAACAAUAAGAAAUUUAUGGUUUUAUGUAUUGUAUUAGACUUUGAGAGUUAGCU